GGCAGGUUUGUUCUUUUGCUCUUUGCAAUAAAUCUUGCUGCUGCUUACUCUUUGGGUCCACACUACCUUUAUGAGCUGUAACACUCACCGCAAACGUUUGCAGCUUCACUCCUGAAGCCAGCGAGACCACGAGACCACGAACCCACCAGGAGGAACAAACAACUCCGGACGUGCCACCUUAACGAGCUGUAACAAGGUCUGCGGCUUCACUCCUAAAGUCAGCGAGACCACGAACCCACCGCAAGGAAGAAACUCCGGACACAUCUGAACAUCUGAAGGAAGAAACCCCAGACACACCAUCUUUAAGAACUGUAACACUCAACCGCGAGGGUCCACGGCUUCAUUCUUGAGAGUAGAACCAAAACAUUGGCUCUUCCUGGACCUUCAACCUACCAGCUUUUGAACUGAACCUACACCAUUGGCUCUCCUGGUUCUCAUGCCUUCAAAUUCAGACUGGUGAGUAGCCCCCAUCUUAAGGUCAUCUCGGGGCCCCUCCCUGAAUCACUUCACUAGCACAAACUCAGAUGUGCUCAAAAAGGGCUCAUUAUAAAUAGGCAAAGAUACUCCUAUCAUUAGGAGAUUCUAAGGGUUUUUGGAGCUCUGUCUCAGGAACCAGGGCAAAGACUCAAUAUAUGUCUUAUAUACCACAGGGAAUAUUAAC
rnacentral:lncRNA from 1 species